GCCAGACUCCUACGGGAGGCAGCAGUGAGGAAUAUUGGUCAAUGGGCGGGAGCCUGAACCAGCCAAGUCGCGUGAGGGAAGACGGUCCUAUGGAUUGUAAACCUCUUUUGCCGGGGAGCAAGGGCGGGGACGUGUCCCGGCCCGGAGAGUACCCGGAGAAAAAGCAUCGGCUAACUCCGUGCCAGCAGCCGCGGUAAUACGGAGGAUGCGAGCGUUAUCCGGAUUUAUUGGGUUUAAAGGGUGCGCAGGCGGCACGGCAAGCCGGCGGUCAAAUCGCGGGGCUCAACCCCGCCCAGCCGUCGGAACUGCCGGGCUAGAGUGGGCGAGAAGUGCGCGGAAUGCGUGGUGUAGCGGUGAAAUGCAUAGAUAUCACGCAGAACUCCGAUUGCGAAGGCAGCGCACCGGCGCCCUACUGACGCUCAGGCACGAAAGCGUGGGUAUCGAACAGGAUUAGAUACCCUUGUA
rnacentral:rRNA from 1 species